UCGUCUGUAUUUGUGAACUACUGAUAUUAGUCAUGCAUGUCUUAUGCAUAUUUAUUAGGAUAUAUUGUUAUUGGUGUUUAAAGGUAAUAACAACUGAUACCUCCCCUCCAUUAGAGAAACAUUGUAUGGCAAGUCGUAUCAACCAUAUUUAUAAUCAGCAAACAUGACCAAUCUGAACUUCUAUUUCCCAGUCUUAUGACUUCCUCUCAUCUCCUACUCUUAUGUAUGAUACAGACACACAAAGAUGCACAAACACAUAUACACCCUCUACUUUUGUUUGUAGUUGCGUGUAUGUGUGCAUAUGUGUAUUUAUAAAUAGAGUUCCAUGUGAUCCUUAAAAUUGAGAGAAAAGGUUAAUUAUUCUCGGUAAACCGUUACAGAAAGUAAAAAAAAUAAUAAUCUGUUACAUGCAACCUUCAAGAUAAAAACAAUGACAUGAAAACAAUUCCACAACAUGAAAGAAAAAUACAUUUGAUAAAUUUUAAAAACAGAAAAUAUACUACUGAUAAAACUUAUAAGAAGGUCACAAGAAAGCCCUAGCGUAAUAAUAUUCAUGAUAAAUGUUGAUGAAGACUGUUUCCUUAUUAAGCGGUGAAUAUUGUUAAGAUUUAGGUUGAAUAAUAAUGACCAUAAGCUAAAGAAGCUUUGCCUCCCUAUUUGGCCUUUUCUGACACCACCUUGGCAGGAGUUUUCCCACAGCUUGUUACUGUCUGGGGAAGGUAGAGGUCUGGUGGUCCCUUGGCCUUUGCUCAAUUGGACAGGGUCACAGUCUUGUCUUUGGAGGACUGUUUAACUACAGUGCUUAUUUUUUAAAAGUUUACCAUCUUGCUAGGCUGCCUAUUUCCUGGUUCUAUGGUGAGAAAGAGAAGGCCUUUGGGGAGAUUUUUGAGUCUGACCCUUCUGAUAUUUCAAAAUUCCUGCCUUCUUUAGCUCCUUGUUCAAAUUAUACAAGACUAAAAGAAAAUCCAGUGAAAUCCCUGCCCCACCAUUUUGGAGUCCCAAUGUCCAUAGACAGUUUGCUUUUUCUCCACUUUUCAGAGUCUAAUGUUUGUCUUAUAUAUAAUGUCCAGGGUUUUUAAUUGUACUUAGAAAGAGAAAAAGCAAAAAUUAUAUCUACUCCUUCUUCACAAAAGCUGAAGUCUUGAUAGAUAAUUUUAAAAGACUUGUAAAGCAACUGGACCACCAAUUUGGACCAAAAAGGAACAAGAUUUAUCAAAUUUCAAGAAGACUCCAAGCCCCCAAAUUGGUGGAGGCUGAAAGCAAGCAGAAAACGCCAAGUCAUCUGCAAGUAUGUGCCUGCUUAUUUUCUCUGUUGAAAUUAGUUUAUCUUUUUGUCACUUUUGCUUUUAUUUUUACUAUUAUAUCCAGCUUCUACUUCCUGAACUUAGAAGCAGGGUCUAAUCAGGAAUGUUUCUUGUCCCUAGAGAUGGGGGUCUUGUCACCUUUUUACCUUGUGGAAUUUCAGCACUCCUAUGGAGCUAUAGACUGUUAUGUGCUUCUUGUUCCUCCCGUUUAGGAAUGGAAGAGUCUAUUACAGUCAUCGUGUUGCUUUCUUACCACUGCAUGGUGGGUGUGAUGGGGUCAGAUAGCUUGUUUAAUAGUUCAUAUUCCUUAGAUCAACAGCAGCCAUCUCUGAGGAGAUACGGUCAAAUUUAAUACAAAUUGUGAAAUUCUAGACAUUGAGCUUUAUGCCAGAAUUUGAUGACUUUGGGAUCAUGCAUAAAAGCGAGUAUAUUUUGCAUGAGCCUAGAAUGUAAAUAUCUGCAACCAGAGACAGUGGUAGCUUGUAAAAAUGGGAUAUAUUCUUUCUCUCUCUGCAUCCUUAUCCUGACACUGCAGAUUCUCUCAUCAAUUGUUUUCCUUCCCCUUGAAUUUGCAUUGGCCACAUGACUUUAUCUGGCCAAAUAGGGUGCUGGGAAACAUGAAGCAAGAGAGAACUGAAGAGCCAUUCUUGCGCAUCAGGGCUCGCCCUUUCUUACUGCACUUGGAACCUUUUGGCUGCCAUGUGAAGGGGCUGAAGUUAGUCAUCUGGAAAAUGAGAGGCCGUGUAAAGAAGAACCAAGGUCACAGACCAGAAUCAGUAAGCUCGGCGCCUGCAACUGACACGUGGGACCAACAAAGGUCACCGGAGCCUGCCGCAGACCAGAUGGGACCACCUGGCUAAACUGAUGAUUUUUUAUUUUUUAACUCACAUAAUCAGAGUUAAGAUUUUUGGGAGCAAAGACAAAAUAAUGUGAAGAGAGACUGUGAGACACUGACUUUGCUCUGCCUACCAGGAUGUGGAGGUUAAGAUUUAAGGUUUAUUCUUUUAGUUAUGUAAGAAGAUGAUUAAAGAGACUAAUAAGGUACUCUCAGAAACAUCUCUGGAGACGGCCAGCUCUCUACGUAAGAAUUUUCUCCCCUUUCCAAGUGUGUGGCUAGACCACGUCACCCAGGUUUCCUUGCAUGUAAGCAUCAACAUCCUUGUAACUAUGUUUUCAACGAUGGGAACAUCAUUACUUCCAGACAAAACCCGCACAACUUCUCAAACACCUUCCGCCAAGCUCUUUUCCUGCCUUGUGUAGGCUGGAACUCUGAGGACCCUAGAAGCCUUAGAAAUAACCAGUUGAAGGCAACUGCACACCACGGGCCUGGGUCCCUGAAUGACCAGAUGGAGAAGACACUCUCUCAACCAGCAGCACCCAAUCCAGACUGGUAUAUAAGCAAGAAGUAACCUCCUCUUUCCUUUGAGCUUUCCAGCUGGACACACAGACAUCUUGCAGUAAAGGAUAUUUUGUUCU